CCUACGGGCGGCUGCAGUGGGGAAUAUUGCACAAUGGGGGGAACCCUGAUGCAGCGACGCCGCGUGGGUGAAGGAGUAUUUCGGUAUGUAAAGCCCUAUCAGCAGGGAAGAACAAUGACGGUACCUGACUAAGAAGCACCGGCUAAAUACGUGCCAGCGGCCGCGGUAAUACGUAUGGUGCAAGCGUUAUCCGGAUUUACUGGGUGUAAAGGGAGCGCAGGCGGCGCGUUAAGCCUGGUGUGAAAGUCCGCGGCCCAACCGCGGGACUGCAUUGGGAACUGGCGCGCUGGAGUGCCGGAGGGGUAGGCGGAAUUCCUAGUGUAGCGGUGAAAUGCGUAGAUAUUAGGAGGAACACCAGUGGCGAAGGCGGCUUACUGGACUGUAACUGACGUUGAGGCUCGAAAGCGUGGGGAGCAAACAGGAUUAGAUACCCGGGUAGUC
rnacentral:rRNA from 1 species